rnacentral:ribozyme from 16 species
UUUUUUUUCCGUUUUGCGGGUUGUAUUUUGAGGGGCUUUGUGGUGAACGCUUUUCUUCUUCUUAUUUCCCCCUCUUGUAUAUCGAAAUAAAAUAAACACACACGCACGUACAAAGAAGAGAGUAGAAAAAAAAUCUUGACACGUUCUAAAUUUUCUUGUUUACUUUCUUUUA